rnacentral:rRNA from 1 species
GAUGAACGCUGGCGGCGUGCCUAAUACAUGCAAGUCGAGCGAACGGACGAGAAGCUUGCUUCUCUGAUGUUAGCGGCGGACGGGUGAGUAACACGUGGAUAACCUACCUAUAAGACUGGGAUAACUUCGGGAAACCGGAGCUAAUACCGGAUAAUAUUUUGAACCGCAUGGUUCAAAAGUGAAAGACGGUCUUGCUGUCACUUAUAGAUGGAUCCGCGCUGCAUUAGCUAGUUGGUAAGGUAACGGCUUACCAAGGCAACGAUGCAUAGCCGACCUGAGAGGGUGCUCGGCCACCCUGGAACUGAGACAAGGUGCAGACUCCUACGGGAGGCAGCAGUAGGGAAUCUUACGCAAGGGGCGGAAGCCUGACGGAGCGACGUGGAGUGAGUGAUGCAGGUCUUCGGAUCGUAAAACUGUGUUAUGAGGGAAGAAGAUAUGUGUAAGUAACUGUGCACAUCUUGACGGUACCUAAUCAGAAAGCCACGGCUAACUACGUG